CAUCCUACCCCUCCCUCCCUCAGCUUAUACCUAAAAAACUGUAUAAUUGAAAAAAGGAGAAAGAAACGGUGGAUACAAUUAUUAAUGAAAUCAAUUGAUGAUUGAUAUUAAUUGAACGAUACCUGAUCGUUAUCUUCACUUCAUUCAUCCUCCCAUUAUAUUACCAAACAAAGGUAUUAUAAAGGGAGAGAUGGGCAUCAGUAACCUGGAUGGAGACGAAUUGGUUGAGCUCUAGCCUUGAAUCGGUUCCUCAUGAAGGGGAAGAGGUUACUGAUUAAGAGGUUACUCGUGGAGGGGAAGAGGUAUUUCAUUAGCACAAAAAUAGAAUUUUCUAUAACAAUUUUAAGACGCCAGAGUAGGUCUCCUGCUAAUAUACCCAUUUUUUUGUCCCCUGUUCCCAAAUAUGCCCCCCUUAAAACCCUACUGCGUGCAUCAUCUAUAAUACCAUAUGAAGCACAUAUUAUAGAUGAGAGAGAGAAAACACACCGGAGGGACCCCGGUAAUCCAGGUUUCUUCUCUCGAUUUUUAUUUAUGCAUAUGUUGAAUUGUUGAUUAUUACGUGAUGUUAAUUGUCGAUUAUGAUUGAGUACCUUGCAGUUUUAGUUCAUCACUGAUAUUCCAAUUUGUGAUCUUUUGAUUUCCCAGUGUCGAUUUUGCAGUUACAAUUUUAUUGGUUGUUGAUUGCUUUAUGUUUAGGGGUUUUUGCUUAUUCAGAUAGGGCUUUUUUGGAUGGGAAUAUGAAGAAUUUGAUCAAUUGAUGUUAAAGGCUCUGGUAUUCUCUCUACCCUCUCUGCAACUGUUGAUGUGCCAAUCAACUUGUUUAUCAAGAAAUCAUCUAACCUUUUAAGUGUUAGUUGAUGAAUAAUUUCAGUUAAAUUAAAAGAGAGUUUUAGAACUAUGUUCGCUAUUAUUCAUACAGUGUUCUAUGACCAUGGCCUAAUGAAAAUUAGGUGAUACGUUUGAACCUGCGUUUUAUAAAAUAUUCAAAUAUUUUAGGACAUAUAUGUGGGUGUUGGGUUGUAAUUAAAAGAAAGAUAUUCUUAGACCAUGAAAUGUAUAUGAUUUUGUUGCUUUUAGUGGUUAUCUCUUCCUCUGAUGGUGUUAGGGUUGUGUGGCGGCAACCGCCGCCCUAGCGACCACAACCGGUCGUGGCUACGGAGGAUCUAGAUGCGAAGGUAAGGGGUUAUGAUUUCCGAAACUGGUGUGGAAAAUAUGGUUGGAAGCCGUUCCUGGGGACUUUUAAAACCCUGUGCUAAGAAACUUAGUGAAUUUGUUGCGGGUGAAAUAUAAUGUCUCGUGCUCGUUUUCCUUUCGCAACAUUUUAUCAGGUGAGAAUGUUUACUUUCGACAUCUGGUCAACUGUUUACUUGAAUCUUGAAUCUAUUUAAAACUAAAAAAAACGAGUACUUUAGUGUGAUUUUUUAGGAUAUAUCUAAACAUGAAUCAUUUCCACUUGUUUACAGGAUCAAUGAAUUGGAGAACUAAUAACAUCAUCUUUUUACAUUCCCAAUCGCGUAUGCAUACCACAGGUUAAGCUAUGGGCUUUUUUCUUCUGUUCCUUGAGGAAUAAAAUACCUUUUAAGUUUGAUAACAUGUAUAAAGAACUUCAACAUGAUUUGGGGUGUUAAAUCCCAUCUCAGAAGUUGGAAUCGAAACGAUAUUACUUCUGUAAUUAUAAUCAGCCAGCCUACGAUAAAGAGCUUUCAAACUAUAAAAAAGUGUGUCAGUGUUUAGAAGCUAAUAAACCCAAAAUAAUGGUGAAGGGACAGAUUCACAGGUCAAAUGAAUGGAAUAUGGGUGUUCUGUUUGAAGGGAUCUCAACAGGCUAUCCUUGGAAGGGGUAUUGAUACGCUACAACGGUAUUACUGCUAACAACGUUGUUUCCUGCCCAACAUUCCCUGAGAUUGCAGAUAAGGUUUACGACAUCUUGCAUGGAAGAGUGUGGGCGGGUCACAAUAUAGUGGAAUUUGAUUGUGUGAGGUUAAAAGAUACGUAUGCUCAGAUAAACGGAAAGCCUCCUGUACUCAAGGGAACCAUGGUUACAUUGAAAUUGUUGAUUGAGACGUUUGGGAGGAGAACCGAUAACAUGAAGCCAGUCUGUUUAAAAUUGAUAUUCAAAAUCAAGCCAACAAGAUACUGAUAACAAUUGGGCUUCUUUGAAUGCUGGUCCCAUUAGAAGCUCUAAUCGAAAAUCCACUCUAGAAGUAACACACUCGAACAUAAGCUCACCUCAACUGAAACCCGUACGGUUCCUCCAAAUCUACCAAAUCAAGUUGAAUCUGGUAACACUCAACCCGGCCCGUUUCACACAGGCCCAUCUGUAGACAGAAUGGAGACUGUAACUCUUCAGUCAAAUGAAGCUAUGGUGGAAGAAUCAUCUACCACCUAUCUAAUGCUUUCAGCAACGACAAUGAAUUCAUAGACCCUGAUUCAGUUCCAAUAGCUUCAAUAACUGUAACCGUUGCUCCCUUUGUUAACGGGCCCAGAGGAUACAAAUAUUUCACAAAGACAUCCCUAGGCAGAGUCAUUGCGCAGGCAUGAGAAUACUUUUGGAUUGAGCACACAUUUUGUUGAUCAUGCUGGAAAUCCGAUCCUAAGUUUUGUAGUCAGUGCAAGUUCUUUGAAUCUCUGUAAGAUACUUGAUGCACUUUAACCUUUCAAACAAUUGUUAUUUUAGUAAAGCCAAACAAUUGUUAUUUUUAGUAAGCCAUGUGCAUAUUGUGUUGUAAGUAUGUAUCGAUUUUAUAGUACGGUUUUUUUAAAUUACAA